UCUCCGUUGGUGAACCAGCGGAGGGAUCAUUACCGAAGUUACCCUUCAAAACCCACUGUGAACCAUACCUCUUGCCGCGUUGUCUCGGCGGGAGGCGCUGGGGCCUCGGCUCCGCGUCCCCGCCGGCAGCGCCAAACUCUAAACUGCAAAGCGUACUGCAUGUUCUGAUUUACAAAAAAAACAAGUUAAAACUUUCAACAACGGAUCUCUUGGUUCUG
rnacentral:misc_RNA from 1 species